AGCAGCCGCGGUAAUUCCAGCUCCAAUAGCGUAUAUUAAAGUUGUUGCAGUUAAAAAGCUCGUAGUUGAAUUUCGGGGUUCAUCCGUUGGUCGGGCUUUUGGGUCUGUACUGGCGUGAUGGAUUCCUACCUUCUGAAUAACCAGCAUGUCAUUAAUUUGGUGCGCUGGGGAAGCAGGACUGUUACCUUGAAAAAAUUAGAGUGCUUAAAGCAGGCAUACGCUUGAAUACAUUAGCAUGGAAUAAUGAAAUAGGACGUUCGAUCCUAUUUUGUUGGUUUCUAGGAUUGACGUAAUGAUUAAUAGGGAUAGUUGGGGGCACUAGUAUUCAAUUGUCAGAGGUGAAAUUCUUGGAUUUAUUGAAGACUAACUACUGCGAAAGCAUUUGCCAAGGAUGUUUUCAUUAAUCAAGAACGAAAGUUAGGGGAUCGAAGACGAUCAGAUACCGUCGUAGUCUUAACCAUAAACUAUGCCGACUAGGGAUCGGAUGAUGUUAAUUUUUUAAUGACUCA
rnacentral:rRNA from 1 species